UGAAAUGUCGCCUAUGUUUGCUCCU
rnacentral:piRNA from 1 species